rnacentral:rRNA from 1 species
GACGAACGCUGGCGGCGUGCCUAAUACAUGCAAGUCGAACGCAGUGGGGACGGGUGAUUAACACGUGGGUAACCUCCCAUCAGAGGGGAUAACACUUGGAAACAGGUGCUAAACCGCUACUGAUGGAUGAACCCGCGGUGCAUUAGCUCGUGGGUGAGGUAACGGCUCACCAAGGCCACGAUGCAUAGCCGACCGGAGAGGGGGAUGGGCCACACUGGGACGGAGACACGGCCCAGAAUCCUACGGGAGGCAGCAGUAGGGAAUCUUCGGCAAUGGACGAAAGUCUGACCGAGCAACGCCGCGUGAGUGAAGAAGGUUUUCGGAUCGUAAAACUCUGUUGUUAGAGAAGCGGUAUCUAACCAGAAAGCCACGGCUAACUACGUGCCAGCAGCCGCGGUAAUUC